CUUCUCUUAUCUUUGUCCAGUCCCGUUGCUUCUUUUCCACCUUCUAGACCUCCCAACGUCUAAAGUCGCAUCGGUCAGCCAUUAGUCCGGCUCCUGUUCCCUUUCAGGCCUCGGCUAUUCUGUCCUCGUCCUUCCUUCUCGCCACCCUCAUCGAUUGAGCGUCGGGCUUUUACGCUGACCUGCGUGACGUCCCUGACACAUCCUGUGCUCCGUGCCCUUCGUCGAAUGCCAUGGCUGGCGAUGCGGGAGAAGAGCAUGAGAAACGUUGACAUCCUCAUCGAUGAGACAUGUGUCGGAGAGGGAAGUGAAGGCAGGAUUGGAUUGUUUGAUAUGGGGGGGAGGCAAAAGCGACGGAAGGAAGUCGUCUUCCCUGUGGUUGAUUUCGAGGAAGAAGGGAUGAAAAAGUGGUCUUCAACUAACCACUGGGUUCAGGCAUUGGUUGAAAGUGUAUCGCAGAGAUUUGGACCGAGUGAGGGGUUGCAACGAAUUUGGCAGAGGGCGUAAGCAGCACCGGGUCGGCUACCCAUGUAGGGGAGACGUGAAGGAGUUAGUCGUUCGCUUGUAAGUCCGUCAUUUAGAGACAGAAUCAUGGACUACAUAAUCCAUUUCCAAUCAGAUCCUAUACCCACAUAUCAUAUAAUUUUCCUUUCAUAAUUUUCUGGUCUUCCUCAUCACUAUUCUGUACACUGCUCUCCGAGUCUGUUAGUACGCCGGUGCUGAGGAAACUCCAGUCCAAUAAAGCGACCCCGGCGUGGUGGAGAGUGAGACACAGGUCCCAACGACUGAGGAGCUGGAUCUGCAGAUAGAAGAAGAGAGCAGUGGAUGAAGUUUACUGUCAAUCUACAAUGAAGGGAUUACAUUCAGUUUGGAGAACAAAAAGUUGCAUGACUAGAGACCACAUGUAAUCGGUGUUUCGGCCCCUCUUCCGCUCCCCUGCCAUGAUCCUGCAUGCGCAGCAGCACGUCGCCGCCUGGGGGUGCCUACUUCUAUGUUCUCAUUUUCAAACCCUUCUCUAACCCUCUUGUGCCUCCUUGCCUCCUUUUCCUUCAGCAACCCUCCCCCAUCCUCGAUACCACAACCCUCGACUGAACAUUCUCAUCCCUGACCCUCUCCAUCGCCCGCCUAGACCUUUUCUCAGCUGGUCGAGGGACUGCAUGAGGAAUGAUGCUGUUGUUGUGUCAGCGGACCAACCAACGUCUGAGGUCGCAGGUCGGGUAGUCGAGGGAAGAGCGGGAAGGAAUACAGGGAGGGGCAAAGGGAAACUAGGCUAGGUCUGGAGAGCGUAGUCUCCCCGACUUGCAUUGAGAGAUUUCUAAUUAAAAGGGAAACUAGCUAAAAGGAUUCAAAUAUAU
rnacentral:sRNA from 1 species